UGGGGAAUUUUGGACAAUGGGCGAAAGCCUGAUCCAGCAAUGCCGCGUGAGUGAAGAAGGCCUUCGGGUUGUAAAGCUCUUUUGUCAGGGAAGAACCGGUGAGAGCUAAUAUCUCUUGCUAAUGACGGUACCUGAAGAAUAAGCACCGGCUAACUACGUGCCAGCAGCCGCGGUAAUACGUAGGGUGCAAGCGUUAAUCGAAAUUACUGGGCGUAAAGCGUGCGCAGGCGGUCUUGUAAGUCUGAUGUGAAAUCCCCGGGCUCAACCUGGGAAUUGCAUCGGAGACUGCAAGGCUAGAAUCUGGCAGAGGGGGGUAGAAUUCCCACGUGUAGCAGUGAAGUGCGUAGAUAUGCGGAGGAACACCGAUGGCGAAGGCAGCCCCCUGGGUCAAGAUUGACGCUCAUGCACGAAAAGCGUGGGGAGCAAAACAGGAUUAGAUACCCUGGUAGUCCACGCCCUAAACGAUGUCUACUAGUUGUCGGGCCUUAAUUGACUUGGUAACGCAGCUAACGCGUGAAGUAGACCGCCUGGGGAGUACGGUCGCAAGAUUAAAAACUUAAAAGGAAUUGACGGGGUCAUAGCUGUUUCCU
rnacentral:rRNA from 1 species